rnacentral:rRNA from 1 species
GACGAACGCUGGCGGCGUGCUUAACACAUGCAAGUCGAACGGAAAGGCCCUGCUUUUGUGGGGUGCUCGAGUGGCGAACGGGUGAGUAACACGUGAGUAACCUGCCCUUGACUUUGGGAUAACUUCAGGAAACUGGGGCUAAUACCGGAUAGGAGCUCCUGCUGCAUGGUGGGGGUUGGAAAGUUUCGGCGGUUGGGGAUGGACUCGCGGCUUAUCAGCUUGUUGGUGGGGUAGUGGCAUACCAAGGCUUUGACGGGUAGCCGGCCUGAGAGGGUGACCGGCGACAUUGGGACUGAGAUACGGCCCAGAAUCGUACGGGAGGCAGCAGUGGGGAAUAUUGCACAAUGGGCCGAAGCCUGAUGCAGCAACGCCGCGUGCGGGAUGACGGCCUUCGGGUUGUAAACCGCUUUCGCCUGUGACGAAGCGUGAGUGACGGUAAUGGGUAAAGAAGCACCGGCUAACUACGUG